rnacentral:rRNA from 1 species
GUUAUAGGGUCAAGCAAUGAAGCGCACACGGUGGAUGCCUAGGCAGCCAGAGGCGAUGAAAGACGUGGUAGCCUGCGAUAAGGUUCGGUGAGGUGGCAACAACCUGUGACCCGGACAUCUCUGAAUGGGGAAACCCACUCAUCAUAAGAUGAGUAUCAUGCACUGAAUACAUAGGU